rnacentral:rRNA from 1 species
AGGUCAAGCGAAGAAGAGCGCAGGGUGGAUGCCUUGGCACUAAGAGCCGAUGAAAGACGUGAUAAGCUGCGAUAAGCUGCGGUAAGGAGCAAAUAUCCAUUGACCCGCAGAUUUCUGAAUGGGGAAACCCACAUGAGAACACCUCAUGUAUCCAUACGCCAAUCCAUAACGUAUGGAGGGGAACCCGGUGAACUGAAACAUCUAAGUAGCCGGAGGAAGAGAAAGAAACAAUCGAUUCCGUAAGUAGCGGCGAGCGAACGCGGAAGAGCCCAAACCAUGGUGCGUGCACCAUGGGGUUCGGACUGCAUAAUUGAUCUGAAGAGCUUAGCAGAAUGGUUUUGGGAAAGCCAGCCGGAGAGGGUGAAAGCCCCGUAAGCGAAAAGUGAUUCAGCAUGGCAGUAUCCAGAGUACAUCGAGACACGUGGAACCUUGAUGGAAGGAGCGGGGACCACCCCGUAAGGCUAAAUACUACUUAGUGACCGAUAGCGCAUAGUACUGUGAAGGAAAGGUGAAAAGGACCCCGGGAGGGGAGUGAAAGAGAACCUGAAACCCUGUGUUUACAAACUGUCGAAGGGCUUUAUAUGCCCGACGGCGUACUUUUUGUAGAACGGUCCGGCGAGUUGUGCAUACUGGCAAGGUUAAGGGAUGAAGUCCCGGAGCCGCAGGGAAACCAAGCCUUAAUAGGGCGCGUCAGUCAGUGUGUGCAGACCCGAAACCGGGUGACCUAUCCAUGUCCAGGUUGAAGUUGCCGUAAAAGGCAAUGGAGGACCGAACGCACAUCCGUUGAAAAGGGUGGCGAUGAGGUGUGGAUAGCGGAGAAAUUCCAAUCGAACCCGGAGAUAGCUGGUUCUCCUCGAAAUAGCUUUAGGGCUAGCCUCGUUUUAGUCUGGUGGAGGUAGAGCACUGAAUUCCCAAGGGGGCGUCAAAGCUUACUAAGGGAUAUCAAACUCCGAAUGCCAUACAGAUGAUGAACGGGAGUCAGACUAUACGAGAUAAGUUGGAUAGUCAAAAGGGAAAGAGCCCAGACCUGCAGCUAAGGUCCCAAAGUGCAUGUUAAGUGGAAAAGGAUGUGGGAUCUCUAAGACAACUAGGAUGUUGGCUCAGAAGCAGCCAUUCAUUCAAAGAGUGCGUAACAGCUCACUAGUCGAGAGGUCCUGCGCCGAAAAUGUCCGGGGCUAAAACAUGCCACCGAAGCUCAGGAAUGACAUAGUCAUUGGUAGAGGAGCAUUCUUAACGCGAAGAAGCAGUACCGUAAGGAGCUGUGGAGUGCUAAGAAGAGAGAAUGCCGGAAUGAGUAGCGAGAACAAGGUGAGAAUCCUUGUGGCCGAAUAUCCAAGGUCUCCAGGGUAAAGCUGAUCUGCCCUGGGAAAGUCGGGACCUAAGGUCAGGCUGAAAAGCGUAGCCGAUGGACAACAGGUUGAUAUUCCUGUACCGCAUGGUAACAGAACUGUGGGGACACGGGAGGGAAACAUGGGCCGGAAAUGGAAAGUCCGGUACAAGCGAGGUAGUCGCACAGCAGGCAAAUCCGCUGUGCAUAAGACGAAGCCGUGAUGUGGAGCGAAAUGAAGUAGCGAAGCAUGUGCCCCCUCCUGUCGAGAAAAGCCGCUAUUGUUUGCCAUGCGCCCGUACCGUAAACCGACACAGGUGGAUGAGGAGAGAAUCCUAAGGCCGGCGGGAGAAGCAUUGUCAAGGAACUCGGCAAAAUGACCCCGUAACUUCGGGAGAAGGGGUGCCCACGCAAGUGGGCCGCAGAGAAUAGGCUCAAGCAACUGUUUAGCAAAAACACAGGUCUAUGCGAAACCGUAAGGUGAUGUAUAUGGGCUGACGCCUGCCCGGUGCUGGAAGGUUAAGAGGAGAGGUUAGCGCAAGCGAAGCUUUGAAUCCAAGCCCCAGUAAACGGCGGCCGUAACUAUAACGGUCCUAAGGUAGCGAAAUUCCUUGUCGGGUAAGUUCCGACCCGCACGAAAGGCGUAAUGAUUUGAGCGCUGUCUCGACAAUGCACCCGGUGAAAUUGAAGUACCAGUGAAGAUGCUGGUUACCCGCGCCAGGACGGAAAGACCCCAUGGAGCUUUACUCCAGUUUGGUACUGGAGCCUGGUAUUGCAUGUACAGGAUAGGUGGGAGCUUAAGAACCUGGGACGCCAGUCUCAGGGGAGGCGCUGUUGGGAUACCACCCUUGCAAUAUCGGGUUUCUAACCAGCCGCCGUGAUCCGGCGGUGGGACAAUGCCAGGCGGGGAGUUUGACUGGGGCGGUCGCCUCCGAAAGGGUAUCGGAGGCGCUCAAAGUUUCCCUCAUAAUGGUCGGAAACCAUUAGAAGAGUGCAAAGGCAGAAGGGAGGCUGACUGCGACACCGACGGGUGGAGCAGGUACGAAAGUAGGACUUAGUGAUCCGGUGGCAUAAAGUGGGAUUGCCAUCGCUCAACGGAUAAAAGCUACCCUGGGGAUAACAGGCUUAUCACUCCCAAGAGUUCACAUCGACGGAGUGGUUUGGCACCUCGAUGUCGGCUCAUCGCAUCCUGGGGCUGUAGCAGGUCCCAAGGGUUGGGCUGUUCGCCCAUUAAAGCGGUACGCGAGCUGGGUUCAGAACGUCGUGAGACAGUUCGGUCCCUAUCCGGCGCGGGCGUAGGAUAUCUGAGGGGAGCUGGCCUUAGUACGAGAGGACCGGGCUGGACGGACCACUGGUGUACCGGCUGUCAUGCCAAUGGCAUCGCCGGGUAGCCAAGUCCGGAAGGAAUAAACGCUGAAGGCAUCUAAGCGUGAAGUCCCCCCCAAGAUGAGAUAUCCCAUCCUUUUAAAGGAGUAAAAACCCUUGAAGAGUACGAGGUAGAUAGGGCAGAGGUGGAAGUGUGGUAACACAUGGAGCUGACUGUUACUAAUCGUUUGAGGGCUUGACCAAAA